CCAGGCUGCAGUGAGUGAGAAGCCCACAUGCUCAGUCCAGUUUGUUUCCUUCCCCUGCUGGACACCAGCUGCUUUGGCUUCUUGGCUAUCUGGAGCCAUAGCUUCCCCCCUCUAGGAUCCCCAAACUAGCCAGCAUCUUGAAGAGAUUCGUGGAGUGGGGACACCCAAGAAACUGUGGGAACAGCACACAGCAGUGGAGGAAUAUGAGCAAGAGUUCAUAGCCAAGUGGAGGUCCCUGGACCUGGAUGUGCUGCUGGUGCCAGUUCUGGGCUCUGCCUUCUAUAUAGGCUCUUCCUCCCUAGCAUCAGAAAGUCAGUCUUAUGUGACCCUGUACAACCUCCUGGACUUUCCCGCGGGCGUGGUGCCUGUCACUAUCGUGACACUACAGGACGAGGAGGAACUGGCCUUCUACAAGGGGUGCUACGGAGAUAGUUCUGACAAAAAUUUCUCAGAGGCGGUAAGAGGAUCCGUCGGAGUUCUGGUGACUGUGCAGUGCAUUGCUUUGCCAUGGGAAGAGGAGCUGUGUCUCCGGUUCAUGAAGGAGGUGGACACCUUGGUCAAGAAUCAGAGGGGGCCCAAGUGAUAGGCUCCUGGAAUGGAGUAACAGCUCAUGAAACACGGGGCUGGUUGUGGUGGCUCAUACUUGUAAUCCCAGCAGUUCAGGAGGCAGAGGCUGGCAGAUCGCUUGAGGCCACGAGUUUGAGACCAACCUGGGCAACAUAGUGAGACCCUGCUUCUAAAGCAUUUUCUUGGUGUUACUCCUGUAGAUCCUCACCC
rnacentral:lncRNA from 10 species